rfam:Brassica oleracea var. oleracea cultivar TO1000 chromosome C3, whole genome shotgun sequence
AAGCCAUGAUGUGGGCAUUGAGACCAAUAGCCCUUAAACAUCUCCCAAGCUUCACUAAAGCCCUCUAGGUUCUUCUGCUGAAAGCUAGAGAUCUCAUUCCUGAUCUU